rnacentral:rRNA from 1 species
CGGCAUGCCUAACACAUGCAAGUCGAACGAGACCUUCGGGUCUAGUGGCGCACGGGUGCGUAACACGUGGGAAUUUGCCUCGGGGUAUGGAAUAACUCAGGGAAACUUGAGCUAAUACCAUAUAAUGUCUUCGGACCAAAGAUUUAUCGCCCUGAGAUAAGCCCGCGUAGGAUUAGCUAGUUGGUGGGGUAAAGGCUCACCAAGGCGACGAUCCUUAGCUGGUCUGAGAGGAUGAUCAGCCACACUGGGACUGAGACACGGCCCAGACUCCUACGGGAGGCAGCAGUGGGGGAAUAUUGGACAAUGGGCGAAAGCCUGAUCCAGCAAUGCCGCGUGAGUGAUGAAGGCCUUCGGGUUGUAAAGCUCUUUUACUCGGGACGAUAAUGACGGUACCGAGAGAAUAAGCCCCGGCUAACUCCGUG